UACGAAGGGGGCUAGCGUUGCUCGGAAUUACUGGGCGUAAAGGGCGCGUAGGCGGCACUGUUAGUCAGGCGUGAAAUUCCUGGGCUCAACCUGGGGACUGCGCUUGAUACGGCAGAGCUAGAGGAUGGAAGAGGCUCGCGGAAUUCCCAGUGUAGAGGUGAAAUUCGUAGAUAUUGGGAAGAACACCGGUGGCGAAGGCGGCGAGCUGGUCCACUACUGACGCUGAGGCGCGACAGCGUGGGGAGCAAACAGG
rnacentral:rRNA from 1 species